GAAUGAGUUUUAUCUAUAUAUGCAUCUCUCCAUACCCUAGAGUUGCAUAUAUGUGCAAAAUGUAUCAUAAUUAAGGGUUGUUAGCACUGGAUGUUUUAUAAUGGCCAAGUUCUCCACGACAAACCUCUUUUUACUUGUCCUUUUGGCUUCAGUUUUCUCAAGGACAAUUCAAGUUGUUAAGGGAGAAUUUUGUAGAGUGCAGACGGAUAACUUUUGCAUACAAGACAACAUUUGCGAACAAAAGUGUGAAAAGUUUCAACUGGGAACUUAUGCCCUUGGAUAUUGUGCUAAUCUGUUUUGUAUUUGCACCUACAUUUGUGGAUUGUAGUCUUGUAGAUUAGAAUUUCGGAUUACCUAGAAUCGCAAUGUUACUAGUUAGGAUGUGAUGAUGGCGGCGAUUGAUUGAUGUAUGUUCAAUUGCUAUCUUCAAUUGAAGGGUAUGCAACUUUAUCACUCAAAAAUUUUUUUUUUUUCAUGUCAAUGAAUUAAUCUAGUUGAUUUG